rnacentral:rRNA from 1 species
CCUACGGGAGGCAGCAGUGAGGAAUAUUGGUCAAUGGGCGCUAGCCUGAACCAGCCAAGUAGCGUGAAGGAUGACUGCCCUAUGGGUUGUAACUUUCUUUUAUAUGGGAAUAAAGUGCCGUUUGUAUACUGCUUUGCAUGUACCUUAUGAAUAAGGAUCGGCUAACUACGUGCCAGCAGCCGCGGUAAUACGGAGGAUCCGAGCGUUAUCCGGAUUUAUUGGGUGUAAAGGGAGCGUAGGCGGGUUGUUAAGUCAGUUGUGAAAGUUUGCGGCUCAACCGUAAAAUUGCAGUUGAUACUGGCAUCCUUGAGUACAGUAGAGGUAGGCGGAAUUCGUGGUGUAGCGGUGAAAUGCGUAGAUAUCACGAAGAACUCCGAUGGCGAAGGCAGCUUGCUGGACUGUAACUGACGCUGAUGCACGAAAGUGUGGGGAGCAAACAGGAUUAGAUACCCCAGUAGUC